ensembl:lncRNA
CGGUUUCUCUGAAGGGGAGGGAAAUGACUUCACACGUAGGGCCACCCACAGCUCUCACAUCUGGAAACUCCCCAGCAGCCAUGACUGCCUCCCAGGAAGCAAUGGAUUCUUUACCAGCUGAGCCACCAGGGAAGCCCUCUACUCCUUUAAGGGGCACACAAAUUGAGCAGAACCAGGAUUACUGGCUUGACAACAAUACACUCGGAAAGGCAGAGGAAGUAGUGGUGUUCGGGCCCCCUGCCAUGCUCUCAUCUCAAAGAUCUUUCUGCCAAAUAGAUACCACCCACCCACCUCCGAAACCUGUUGUUGUGAGGAUCACAUGUGUGACAUGCUUUGAAAACUGCUGAUGGUUAUACAAACAGGCGGCACUGUGACAGACCAGGUGUCAAUCAGUAGCACAAAGAGAGUUCGAUUUCACGUCUCCAGCCCUAGUU